ensembl:snRNA U4 U4 spliceosomal RNA
AGCUUUGCGCUGUGGCAGUAUCGUAGCCAAUGAGGUUUAUCUGAGGCGAGAUUAUUGCUAAUUGAAAACUUUUCCCAAUACCCUGCCGUGACAACUUGCAAUACAGUCGACACUGGCAAUUUUUGACAGUCUCUAUGGAGA